GUACCUAACCUAACCUACCUGGAGGUUGAGGACACAAAAACAAACAUCUGGCUUAGUUUUGCCAUCUUCAUCGUCCCUGAGGAAGAGAAGGAUGGGACAGAUGGACGAGGAAGCAGUGAGAGCGAUGAAGAAACCAAAAAACAAGAAAUCCAGUCACUUCUUCCCACUGAGACAGAUUCCAGCAGCCAACCAAUGAAGAAGGAGCUCAGUAAUCACAUGACUGAUGAGCCUGUCAUCAGAAGAAAUGCUGGGCGAUCAGUCGAUGUUUGUCUCUUCUGAUGAGGAGGCUGAUCAUGUUAACAACACUGUCCAUUUGCACAAAUCGCUCUCUGAUGACUCUGAUGAUUUUAACAACAGCACAGAAAGCACAGAGAUAAACAGUCAGUCCACAAGAACCAUUUUUGAUUACUUUGAUGACAGAAACACCAGUUCAGAUGAUCCAAAGCCUUGGUAAUUCAUUGUCCUCUGAAGCCACUGAACUCAGCCGAAACCUUCAGGGUAUCACGUUGAACCCAGAUAAUCCAAGACACAGCAGCAGCCAACUUGUUCUGUGUACUGCAGGAGGUGCUGAGUUCAAGCUCAGAGGAAAGUAGCUUGACCAACCAGGACAGGAUCAGUUCUAGCUGUCAGACGGGUUUCAGUUUGAGCUCUGAUGAGACUGAUGAAAGUUCAGAAACAUUCGGUCAAGUCACCUUUGACCAAAUAAAUCACACUGGUGUUAGUUCAGGUCCUGGCAGUGAUGAGAGCUUGGAGGACACCAGCUACAGAGUCCAGCAAGGCACCGUGUCUAGAGAUGCCACACAACAAGUUACUGGUCCUACCACAAGGUCAGUCCCUGACUUGAUCAGUUCAGAUCCCGAUAGAAAAGAGGUUCAAGACACGUCUGCUCUGUCCAUCCAAACAGGUGACACUGCUGGUUUAAACCCAGUCAUUCUGGAUCAGGAUGUGAAACCUCCAGUCCUGAGUAUGCAGAAGAAUGCUUUGUCUCAGAUGAACAGCGAGGAGAGUGCCAGGUCCGUCUCACAGGUGAAGUUUAGUUCAAACCCUGACAGCUCUGAGGAGAGUCAGGAAUCUGCUGGUGCACAGGAAGUCACAGGUUUGAUGGCUUCUGGCGGGGGUCACUCCAGAGUCAGUAGUUCAGAGGUCAACUCCAGCAGUGAGGAGGUAAUGCUGACUCUUGCCUCCUCAUCCUGUCCUCUUCUGGUUUCCUCACCUGUACCCUCCACCCAAACCCCAACUGAGUCUGUAAGUUACAGCUCAGAAUCACAAAAGUCUGACUUAUCAGGACCUGAUUCAGAGAGCAGUUCAAAGAACACAAAACGUAAUCCCAAUGCUCUCCCAAAAUCAGAUUCUAAUCUCAGUCCGGGGUCCAACUAUAAUCCCAGUUUUGAUAUGAACUUUAGCUCAAGCUCUGAAAUCAGUCGGGGACAGUCUGAAGAACUGUCAAACACGAAGUCUCUGCAGAUGCUAAGCCGGAUGCUAUCAGAGCAGCUAAUCCCACUGUAGACUAUGGGACUCUCACUGCUAGCAUAGCUGCCAGCUCUGAAGCUAACAUGAUCAUGAAACUUGAGAAUGGUGUAAAAGAAGCUGAGGCAGAUUUAACUGAUUCUGGUAACAAUGUUAGCACUGAUGCAGAGCCCACCACUGCUGCUGUGUGUAGCACAAGUCUUCCCAGCAUCCAUGUUAGCUCUGGAGUGAGUACAGACGCUAACACAGAAGCUACUGCAGAACCUGCUGUUAGCAUGAAACCAACCGUCACCACUGAGUACAGAAGAAAUCCUCCUGACUCCAGAGCUCACACUGAUGCUCUCACUAAUGUAAAAAGGGACCCAGCAGGUGCAGAUGUUAGCACAGAGGCUAACUCAGAUGCUAACAGCCCAGGUCCAAACCAGUAUGCUAGCAGUGAGGAAAACAUAGCCUCUCCUCCUCCUGCUCCUCGUCCACGCAGAAAGAGACCUCAUCGCUUUGGUUUCCUCGGCCUCAUCAACCAUUCACACGACACCCGAGCUUCAUCUCACGCCACCGCCAGGGAAACAUUAGCAGUUCAUCAAAAUGUAUACUCAAAACCCCCUCCCAGCUUGUUUUACAGUCAGUACAACACAGACAGAGAGCGCCGCCAACAGACGGUCAGUCAGGCGGGAGGCACAUGAGGGUUAGCAGAGCAAAGGCGGCUAAUCGAAGAAACCACCUCGUGGAGAUACUGUGCUUUCCUGUCAGCUGAGCUCGGUGUGGUGGUUGUUUUAAGAUGCUGGCACACACACUUUACCAAAUUCUUAGAUUUUUUUUUUCAAACUUUUAUAAAGUUUAUCAGUCGUCGUGUCAUUCUGGUCAGAAAAUAUGCCCACACUGCUGGAGCAGGAUGAAAAAUGUCUUUAUUCCACUUGUUUGCUCCUGAAUGCAGCAGGUUCAUUUAUUUACUCCUAAGAUUCAUGGAUAGGAUGCAUAUUUUUUCCAGUAUUUUAUUUAAUUGAAAUUUGUAGUUUUUCUAAAAUGUGUCUUCAAUGUGAGGAUUGACACAAAUUCAGACAGAAAAUGUAAAAACUAUUUUCAAACUGCUCAGACAAAAUAAAUUCAGUCAAGAUGUAAAAGUUCCCAUCAGGUCAAAAGUCUUCAUUAAAAAAGGAUGUAUAUUAAAUACUGACGCCUCAUAGUGUGUCCACUGUUUAAAUUCUGUAUAAUCUUUUUAUUAACGAACAACUUAUUUAACUUUGAUUUAACCGGUUAUGACGAGUUAACGAGUUAAAACCUGAAGAUCAGAAACAGUCUGAUGUCUUGUGUUUCAUUCCACAGCUCAGAUGAAGCAAUCAAACAGUAUCUGCAGCUUUAAUCAAUCGAUCUGCUUUAUUUUCACAAAAAAACCAAAACAAUAAAAUAUAAUUUUGAAACGAACGACCUGCCCAGACGUGCCACUUCCUGUCAGUGUCCAGAGUUCAGGACAAGAAGUCACAUGAGAUGGGGAGAUCACCCACAAUCCUUUGCUUUGGCUGUAUCAACCAGUCACAUUCACAGAAACCAUGCUGUCCAAUCAGAUUCAUUUAUUCUUCUCGGUCCACAGUCCAGCCCUGUUGACAGGAGGGUGACUUCCUGUGAUGCAUCGGUGACCUCACUUCCUCUGGGCGGAGCCUUUGUGGAAGAGAUAGACUGGUCGAUGGUUACCUGAAAACACAGAGACAAAGUACAGCAUGUCAGCAUCGCAGGCAGCAGGUCCAGGUGAGUCUCAUUCUUCUUCUGUUUUUCAUUAUUUUGUGUGACAUCUUUAUGAUUCUGACGAGUGACACGUUUCAGGGGACAGCAGUCAGAUCAGAGCUGCAACAACCAAUCAGCUGUGAGGCCGCCAAACAGUUUGAAUGAAAUAAAAACUAAUUGAUGGUUCUGUUUUGUCAC